UACGGAGGGUGCGAGCGUUGUCCGGAUUUAUUGGGCUUAAAGGGCUCGUAGGCGGCCAACUAAGUCAGACGUGAAAUCCCUCAGCUUAACUGGGGAACUGCGUCUGAUACUGGAUGGCUUGAGUUUGGGAGAGGGAUGCGGAAUUCCAGGUGUAGCGGUGAAAUGCGUAGAUAUCUGGAGGAACACCGGUGGCGAAGGCGGCAUCCUGGACCAACACUGACACUGAUGAGCGAAAGCCAGGGGAGCAAACGGG
rnacentral:rRNA from 1 species